rnacentral:rRNA from 2 species
UGGGGAAUAUUGCACAAUGGGCGCAAGCCUGAUGCAGCGACGCCGCGUGAGGGAUGACGGCCUUCGGGUUGUAAACCUCUUUCAGUACAGAACAAGGCCUUCGGGUUGAGGGUAUGUGCAGAAGAAGCGCCGGCUAACUACGUGCCAGCAGCCGCGGUAAUACGUAGGGCGCGAGCGUUGUCCGGAAUUAUUGGGCGUAAAGAGCUCGUAGGCGGUUUGUCGCGUCUGCCGUGAAAUCCUCUGGCUUAACUGGGGGCGUGCGGUGGGUACGGGCAGACUGGAGUGCGGUAGGGGAGACUGGAAUUCCUGGUGUAGCGGUGGAAUGCGCAGAUAUCAGGAGGAACACCGGUGGCGAAGGCGGGUCUCUGGGCCGUUACUGACGCUGAGGAGCGAAAGCAUGGGGAGCGAACAGG